GUUACACAUCGCUUCACAACCGAUAAAAUUGGAACAAUACAGAGAAGAUUAGCAUGGCCCAUUUGCAAGGAAGAUACACACAAAUCGAGAGAUGGUCCAUACAUAU